CUUGCUGUCAACACUUCUCCAGUAAACCAUCCAGGUGGCUCUCAACUCCUCAACUCAAGUCUAGAAAUUAUCCAUGAGCCAAGUCUGUCCUUGUAUGAGAACGAAGUCGGGGUAAGGGAGGAGGAGGAAGCUGAUGUAACUCUGAUCCCCCCUGCUUCACCAUUUCCAGGCCCAACUGGGCUGUGAUUGGGUGAGUUACCGAACCUAAUUCCAGGGUUCAGUAGUAGGAAACUAUAGUGGCAUGGCCCCAUUUACUGUCACUGCUUGUAACCCACUGGGGAUUUUGUGCUUCCUAUCCCUUCUAUUCCAGGCUUUUCAGGUUUAGAGGUCCAGGUUCCAGAGGGGGAACAUUCCUACCAAAGGAUGUAGCACAUGCUACCAGGACACUUGGGGCCUGUGCCAAGGAACCUCACAAGAAGUGGUAUCACCACCGUGGCAGAGGAAAUUGGCCCUGACCAGCAGGAGGAGAGAGAGCUGCUGUGCCCAGUAGGGACACAAGGAAAUCUGGCACCCAGAUGAUCUGCUGUGCGCCUCUUGGCACUUCCUCUGACCAGUUUUGAUGAUCAAUGUGCAAGUUCCUCAACCAGACCCUGAGGCAGUGUCCAGGGACUUGAGUCAUUAGGGAUGAGGGUCUAAGUCACACCAACUGGCAAGAAGUGUGACUCAACCAGCAGAGGUAUUUCCUGAGGAUGAGAGAGACAAUGAAUAUCAGUUGCGACGGAAGCUGUAGUUUGUCCCACUAAUCUUUAUUUUGUAAUCCCCUUCCAGGAAACAAGGCUGUGAGAAUGCUGGAGACACUGCUUCCGGAAAUGUAUGAAAUAUAGGUCCAUGCAGUGAAUGCUGUCAUGAGCCUCCAAGAUCCAUCUUGGGGACUGAAGGUCUUCUCUCCUUGUAUGGGGAGCGAUGGAGAGGGGAGAGAUUGCAGAAUGAAUGUAACCAACUAAUGCAUCAAUAUGUCUCCAGCCUGAGCAAAGCGGGACCUACUACAAAUGAGCUUGCUAGUGCAAUUAAGUGUAUUCGGAUUCCCUUUCUAAGGCUGCUUCAGGAUUCUGGAACUGAACAUGCCAUUCUUCUCUGCAUAUCUGAACUGCUCUUGUCAUCAGUAAAAUGGCACAACAGAACCAGAUUACUGGACAAAGACACAGCCAAUCCCAGCCAAAGGAGCCACCAAGAAAUGUCCAAAGACAACUGCUAAUAACAGUAACACACAUGAGUUAAGAAGUAAAAAUGAAAUAGCAUUCCUGAAUCCAAUGAUAUUUCUGGUAGAAAUAAUCAAAAUAAAAUAAAUUUGACAAUGUUUAAAGUAGUCCAUGCAAAAAUGUGUGACAGAUGAAUGUACUGAAGAACUGCUUCUGAAUGAUGACAAUGGAAACUGCACAAUUUGAUAUGGAGGAGAGAAUAGAAUUAGUAAAACUUUCAAAUAAGAGUUCCAGUGGCUAAAACAUCCCAUCAUAAAAUGUGUUCAUGACUCGACAUUGAUAAAGAAUGUAGUGUUGCAAAAUUUGACUUCAGGGAUUUGAACUUGGUAAAUUGGUGGUUUCAUAGAAAACUCACAAUGGCAGAAGCUAUAACUUUCAAAAACUGACUAAUAAAUU
rnacentral:lncRNA from 1 species